rnacentral:rRNA from 1 species
UUAUACCGUGAAACUGCGAAUGGCUCAUUAAAUCAGUUAUCGUUUAUUUGAUAGUACCUUACUACUUGGAUAACCGUGGUAAUUCUAGAGCUAAUACAUGCUAAAAACCCCGACUUCGGGAGGGGUGUAUUUAUUAGAUAAAAAACCAAUGCCCUUCCGGGCUCUUUGGUGAUUCAUGAUAACUUCUCAGAUCGCAUGGCCUUGCGCCGGCGACGGUUCAUUCAAAUUUCUGCCCUAUCAACUUUCGAUGGUAAGGUAUUGGCUUACCAUGGUUUCAACGGGUAACGGGGAAUUAGGGUUCGAUUCCGGAGAGGGAGCCUGAGAAACGGCUACCACAUCCAAGGAAGGCAGCAGGCGCGCAAAUUACCCAAUCCCGACACGGGGAGGUAGUGACAAUAAAUACUGAUACAGGGCUCUUUUGGGUCUUGUAAUUGGAAUGAGUACAAUUUAAACCUCUUAACGAGGAACAAUUGGAGGGCAAGUCUGGUGGAUUUCAGUCCUAUUUUGCUGACGCCAGAGAUAGUCGGGCCAUCCUUCCGGGGAGGUUACGCCGGCUAGUCGAGUACCCGCUAUAUGAUGGGGGGGUACCGGCGAGACAACCUGGAUCGGGGAAGGCUAAAGCCAGAAAGGCUAUGCUAAUCCCGAGCAGAGCUCCUAUGUAGCAAUAUGUAGGCAGCCUGUGUAGAGCGCGGUAAGGUGUCGGUCAGCUCACGUAGCUGGCUUAAGGUACGUGCCAUUCCCAUCCGAAAGGGUGGCUGUCAGUUCGAGCGCCCAUCACGCGAAGACUGGCGGAUUCAAACUGGAAUGUAAGUUUGAAGUGAACAAAAAGGCCAGCAGCCGCGGUAAUUCCAGCUCCAAUAGCGUAUAUUAAAGUUGUUGCAGUUAAAAAGCUCGUAGUUGAACCUUUGGCCUGGCUGGCAGGUCCGCCUCACCGCGUGCACUUGACCGGCCGGGCCUUCUUUUCUGGAGAACCGCAUGCCCUUCACUGGGUGUGUUGGGGACCAGGACUUUUACUUUGAAAAAAUUAGAGUGUUCAAAGCAGGCCUUUGCUCGAAUACGUUAGCAUGGAAUAAUAGAAUAGGACGCGCGGUCCUAUUUUGUUGGUUUCUAGGACCGCCGUAAUGAUUAAUAGGGACAGUCGGGGGCAUCAGUAUUCAAUUGUCAGAGGUGAAAUUCUUGGAUUUAUUGAAGACUAACUACUGCGAAAGCAUUUGCCAAGGAUGUUUUCAUUAAUCAGUGAACGAAAGUUAGGGGAUCGAAGACGAUCAGAUACCGUCGUAGUCUUAACCAUAAACUAUGCCGACUAGGGAUCGGGCGGUGUUUCUAUUUUGACUCGCUCGGCACCUUACGAGAAAUCAAAGUGUU